rnacentral:rRNA from 1 species
AUUGAACGCUGGCGGCAGGCUUAACACAUGCAAGUCGAGCGGUAACAGGGGGUGCUUGCGCCCCGCUGACGAGCGGCGGACGGGUGAGUAAUGCAUAGGAAACUGCCCAGUAGUGGGGGAUAGCCCGGGGAAACCCGGAUUAAUACCGCGUACGCCCUUCGGGGGAAAGCAGGGGAUCUUCGGACCUUGCGCUAUUGGAUGUGCCUAUGUCGGAUUAGCUAGUUGGUGGGGUAAAGGCCUACCAAGGCGACGAUCCGUAGCUGGUCUGAGAGGAUGAUCAGCCACAUCGGGACUGAGACACGGCCCGA